GCUCCCAGAUUUGCCCCUGCAAGGUAGAAGCUCCCAGAUUUGCCCCUGCGAGGUAGGAGCUCCCAGAUUUGCCCCUGCGAAGUAGGAGCUCCCAGAUUUGCCCCUGUGAGGUAGGAGCUCCCAGAUUUGCCCCUGUGACGUAGGAGCUCCCAGAUUUGCCCCUGUGAGGUAGAGGCUCCCAGAUUUGCCCCUGUGAGGUAGGAGUUGCCAGAUUUGCCCCUGCGAGGUAGGAGCUCCCAGAUUUGCCCUCACAACAAUCCUGCGAGGUAGGAGCUCCCAGAUUUGCCCCCAUGACAACCCUGCGAGGUAGCAGCAGCCGGAACAGCCUACAAAGAAGCCGCGGCGUUUUGAGAAAGCUUCACAAAUUCUGCAGCGGCAUCAGUUUCCCCCUCACACAUACCAACACGAAAGCUUGUGCUCAGUUACUAGAGAGCAUGAGACUUUUAAUCUCAGGGUCGUGGGUUCGAGCCCCAUGUUGGGCAAAAGAUUCCUGCAUUGCACCGGGUUGGACUAGAUGGCCCUCGGGUUUCUUUCCAACUCUAGGAUUCUGCACUGGAGCAACCUUUGUUAGCCCUCUCCAGCGCUACACGGACACCUUGAUGUCUUUCAUUUCAUCUGUGGGGCAGGUUGGACGCGUUGCAGGUCCCUCUUAGGUUGAUGCCACCUGCGGAAAAAGACGGAAGUGGACCUCUUUCGGGCAGCAGAAUUCCAGCUUUUUGGAGCUACAAUGUCAAAACUCUUCCAGUUUCACAUUCCACACAAAGGGAUCCUUCUGCAGAUUCAAAACUCUCACUGAAUCCUUUCCAUUUUUGCUUUCUUUUUCCUUGAAUGGGUCUUGACUGCCUAGAACCGGCUCUGCGGGGAAACCAGCUCUUCCAGUGCUCAGUACUGUGGUGCCUUCUCACGUCUCGGGCAUGAUGCCCAGGUUGACGGCAGCCCCCAAUUGUAUCGGCCUCUUGUGCCGCAGCAUUGCUUUGCUGGCUCGUGUACAAUGUAUUCUCACUAUAGAUACUUUAUAAGCGUGGAGGAAGUAAAUCCCUGUGGCAGAUUGUGGGAAGGGGUCUAAAUUGCUUCAGUUCUGUGAUACUGUUUCAGCAUUUUUUCUGUCCUUUU